AGUUAAUUAGCUCAAAUGAGCAUUUAUUUUGAAAAUAAAAGGAAAGAGAUAAACUCUAUUAACUU
rnacentral:tRNA from 1 species